GAUCAUGGCUCAGAUUGAACGCUGGCGGCAGGCCUAACACAUGCAAGUCGAGCGAGAAAGGUCUUCGGACUGAGUACAGCGGCGGACGGGUAAGUAAUGCGCAGGAAUCUACCUGGUAGUGGGGGAUAACUCGGGGAAACUCGAACUAAUACCGCAUACGCCCUACGGGGGAAAGCGGGGGACCUUCGGGCCUCGCGCUAUCAGAUGAGCCUGCGUAGGAUUAGCUUGUUGGUGAGGUAAAGGCUCACCAAGGCGACGAUCCUUAGCUGGUCUGAGAGGAUGAUCAGCCACACUGGAACUGAGACACGGUCCAGACUCCUACGGGAGGCAGCAGUGGGGAAUAUUGCGCAAUGGGCGAAAGCCUGACGCAGCCAUGCCGCGUGUGUGAAGAAGGCCCUUGGGUUGUAAAGCACUUUCAAUUGGGAAGAAAGGUUGCGUGUUAAUAGCACGUAGCUGUGACGUUACCUUUAGAAGAAGCACCGGCUAACUCCGUG
rnacentral:rRNA from 1 species